UUCAUAAAGCUUUACUAAUUUUUCUUUUCUUGACAAUUCAAAUAAAUAAGAAAUGUAUUAUUGGUAUUUCUUAUUCAAGCAGAUUUGCCACCUGCUAUGGUAGGUUCCAAUCCUCUUCAUCAGACAUGUUAUACCCGGUAUGUUACUAGACCAUUCCAUGAAUCUGAUUAGAAACUCAGAACCCAAGCCAUUUGCAAAACUCAUAUAUAUGUUUCAAAUUUAAAGAAGGAUUCUAUUAAUAAUUAAAUAUCUGUGAUGUUAUUUCCAUGUUGUGCAUCUUAAGCUAACAAAACAAAGUUAUUUUCAUUAUAGAAUUAUCAUCUAUCAACUGUCAGAAAUAUUUUCACCAUAAUAUGAAAGAGACUAAUAUAUAUUAUAACGGCCAUCCAUUUCU